UAGCUCAGUCAGUUGAGCGUGGCGCUAACAACGCCAAGGUUGCGGGUUCAAUUCCCGU
rnacentral:tRNA from 1 species